UGUGUACCUGUGGCUCAGGGGGGAACAGAGCUCUGGACACUCUGUAGAGGUGUGUGUGUGUACCUGUGGCUCAGGGGGGAACAGAGCUCUGGACACUGUAGAGGUGUGUGUGUGUACCUGUGGCUCAGGGGGGAACAGAGCUCUGGACACUCUGUAGAGGUGUGUGUGUGUACCUGUGGCUCAGGGGGGAACAGAGCUCUGGACACUGUAGAGGUGUGUGUGUGUACCUGUGGCUCAGGGGGGAACAGAGCUCUGGACACUGUAGAGGUGUGUGUGUGUACCUGUGGCUCAGGGGGGAACAGAGCUCUGGACACUGUAGAGGUGUGUGUGUGUACCUGUGGCUCAGGGGGGAACAGAGCUCUGGACACUCUGUAGAGGUGUGUGUGUGUACCUGUGGCUCAGGGGGGAACAGAGCUCUGGACACUCUGUAGAGGUGUGUGUGUGUACCUGUGGCUCAGGGGGGAACAGAGCUCUGGACACUGUAGAGGUGUGUGUGUGUACCUGUGGCUCAGGGGGGAACAGAGCUCUGGACACUCUGUAGAGGUGUGUGUGUGUACCUGUGGCUCAGGGGGGAACAGAGCUCUGGACACUGUAGAGGUGUGUGUGUGUACCUGUGGCUCAGGGGGGAACAGAGCUCUGGACACUCUGUAGAGGUGUGUGUGUGUACCUGUGGCUCAGGGGGGAACAGAGCUCUGGACACUGUAGAGGUGUGUGUGUGUACCUGUGGCUCAGGGGGGAACAGAGCUCUGGACACUCUGUAGAGGUGUGUGUGUACCUGUGGCUCAGGGGGGAACAGAGCUCUGGACACUCUGUAGAGGUGUGUGUGUACCUGUGGCUCAGGGGGGAACAGAGCUCUGGACACUCUGUAGAGGUGUGUGUGUGUACCUGUGGCUCAGGGGGGAACAGAGCUCUGGACACUGUAGAGGUGUGUGUGUGUACCUGUGGCUCAGGGGGGAACAGAGCUCUGGACACUCUGUAGAGGUGUGUGUGUACCUGUGGCUCAGGGGGGAACAGAGCUCUGGACACUCUGUAGAGGUGUGUGUGUACCUGUGGCUCAGGGGGGAACAGAGCUCUGGACACUCUGUAGAGGUGUGUGUGUGUACCUGUGGCUCAGGGGGGAACAGAGCUCUGGACACUGUAGAGGUGUGUGUGUGUACCUGUGGCUCAGGGGGGAACAGAGCUCUGGACACUCUGUAGAGGUGUGUGUGUACCUGUGGCUCAGGGGGGAACAGAGCUCUGGACACUCUGUAGAGGUGUGUGUGUGUACCUGUGGCUCAGGGGGGAACAGAGCUCUGGACACUCUGUAGAGGUGUGUGUGUACCUGUGGCUCAGGGGGGAACAGAGCUCUGGACACUCUGUAGAGGUGUGUGUGUGUACCUGUGGCUCAGGGGGGAACAGAGCUCUGGACACUCUGUAGAGGUGUGUGUGUGUACCUGUGGCUCAGGGGGGAACAGAGC